rnacentral:rRNA from 1 species
AUUGAACGCUGGCGGCAGGCCUAACACAUGCAAGUCGAGCGGUAGAGAGGUGCUUGCAUCUCUUGAGAGCGGCGGACGGGUGAGUAAUGCCUAGGAAUCUGCCUAGUGGUGGGGGAUAACGUUCGGAAACGGACGCUAAUACCGCAUACGUCCUACGGGAGAAAGCGGGGGAUCUUCGGACCUCGCGCCAUUAGAUGAGCCUAGGUCGGAUUAGCUAGUUGGUGAGGUAAUGGCUCACCAAGGCGACGAUCCGUAACUGGUCUGAGAGGAUGAUCAGUCACACUGGAACUGAGACACGGUCCAGACUCCUACGGGAGGCAGCAGUGGGGAAUAUUGGACAAUGGGCGAAAGCCUGAUCCAGCCAUGCCGCGUGUGUGAAGAAGGUCUUCGGAUUGUAAAGCACUUUAAGUUGGGAGGAAGGGUAGUAACCUAAUACGUUGCUACUUUGACGUUACCGACAGAAUAAGCACCGGCUAACUUCGUGCC